UAGUCCACGCCCUAAACGAUGAUAACUAGCCGUUGGCCCUUCGGGGCGAGUGGCGAAGCUAACGCGCUAAGUUAUCCGCCUGGGGAGUACGGCCGCAAGGUUAAAACUCAAAUGAAUUGACGGGGGCCCGCACAAGCGGUGGAGCAUGUGGUUUAAUUCGAUACAACGCGAAGAACCUUACCAUCCUUUGACAUCCUCAGAAUCCUGUAGAGAUACGGGAGUACCGAAAGGAACUGAGUGACAGGUGCUGCAUGGCUGUCGUCAGCUCGUGUCGUGAGAUGUUGGGUUAAGUCCCGCAACGAGCGCAACCCUUAUCCUUAGUUGCCAUCAUUAAGUUGGGGACUCUAGGGAGACUGCCGGUGACAAGCCGGAGGAAGGUGGGGACGAGGUCAAGUCAUCAUGGCCCUUUUGGGAUGGGCUACACACGUGCUACAAUGGCCGGUACAGAGGGUUGCCAACCCGCGAGGGGGAGCUAAUCUCAAAAAAUCCAUCUCAGUCCGGAUUGGAGUCUGCAACUCGACU
rnacentral:rRNA from 1 species